GUCUGUGACCCAAGGACCUCUUGGUGCCAAUUAGUAGAGGACACAGGGUGCAUAAGUGUUACAGGGAUUCCCUGGGUCUGGUAUUUACAUAUUAGUUCACCAAAGAGUGUCAUACCAGAUCUCUACUCAAA